UACGUAGGGGGCAAGCGUUGUCCGGAAUCAUUGGGCGUAAAGCGCGUGUAGGCGGUCCGGUAAGUCGGCUGUGAAAGUCCAGGGCUCAACCCUGGGAUGCCGGUCGAUACUGCCGGACUAGAGUUCGGAAGAGGCGAGUGGAAUUCCCGGUGUAGCGGUGAAAUGCGCAGAUAUCGGGAGGAACACCAAUGGCGAAGGCAGCUCGCUGGGACGUUACUGACGCUGAGACGCGAAAAGCGUGGGGAGCAAACAGG
rnacentral:rRNA from 1 species